rnacentral:lncRNA from 1 species
AAAAGAAGAGGGGAGCAGGAACGCGUGGCGUAGAUGAUAUUCUCUUCAAACUGAAUGCGAAGUCUACAAAGAAAAAUCCCAAAGCUCAAACCACCACAUCCAGCUGGAUCUCACCGCCCCUGGGCAGGUUGUCACGUGGUUCAUUGACGGGGAGCCCAUCACCCCUUCAAGCGUCACAGACCACAGAGCUCUCCCCACGUUAUAUAAGAAUCACUCUUGGACGAGGUUAUCCGGGCCAAUCAGGGCACCGCAGAACGCACCAGGAACCGCCUGGACGAAUUUUACCGUGCAAACUAAACGCACAGAUUUCUUAACGUGCCCGUAUUCCUCGGGAAUGACCCACCGGUCAGAGGGGAACGCCACGGGCCCAGGCGCCCCCACUCCGGCCCUGGGGUCCUCCAGGACCUCGUCUCCAGCCUGGCAUCACCUCCCGACAUCACCUCCUGAGCCCAAGUGAACACCCCUAGGGUACCUGCCACAGGUAAGGGCUCAGCACAUCUCACACGGAGCAACAGGACUUGCCACAUCUCCCCGCAGACCGCCAGGCCCCGGGGGCGCGACAGGGCCCUGGUCUCUGCCAAGUCCCAGUCGCCAAAGCCCGGGCCUGCGGACCCUGCGGGGCAGCGCCCUCCUCCACCCGUGCCCUCGGACCCCCCUUUCCACGUCCCCUGGCAGGAACCCAGCGCGCCCGGCCUGCACUCACUGUUGUACUGCACCCCUUUGGCGAAGCGCCUCUGCAGCGCCUGGUUCAUGGAUUGCAGCCCGGCGGGGAUAUUCUUGUCGCGGCCGGGAGCCUGCUCCGACCCCACCAGCUUCUUGAGCGCGGAAAACAUCUUCCCGCUCCCACGUCCGAGCCCGGCGCGGCCCGCGAGCUCAGCGGCGGCGGCGACGACGGCGACCCGGCGCGGAUCGCACCAUGUCCCGGGUCCCGGCGGCCGGGCGCCUGCUUCGAGGGCAGCUCAGGGGCUCAGCCGCGGCGGUUCCGCUCCAGCCCCGGGGACCCCCGGCGCGGCCGCCCUCCGUCUGUCAGAACCGCCAUCUUGGCGUCGGCUCGGCUGGGCGCGCGGCUACGGGGUGCCGCGAGGGCCAAGAGGGUGCGCGCAUGCGCGGCGGAAGGCGAGCGGAAGCGGACUUGGCCGGGCGCGCCUCUGAGGGGCGCCGCGAGUGCCCCGGCUGUGCGGCGGCCUGGGGGUGUGCGCAUGCGCGGGGCAGUGGGCCGGAGGUGCGCGCGGAGCCACGUCAGCCAGCCGGCCGGCCGGCCUUCGGGGCGGUCCCCGGGCUCGCAGAAGGCGCUUGACACCUGUCCGCUUCCUCGCCGGACCCCUCCCCCCCACCGCCGUUCACCCCCUAACCCUGGCCCCUCACCCAGCACCACACGUUUCCGCAGACUUCCCAACGUGAUCCCCCCACGUCUGCGUCCCCGCAGGGUUCAUUUCCGAGACUCCUCUCCCGCGGUCCCCCCCGGCAGUCCUGGAAAAAUGUUUAUUUGUGUAACAAAGCGCCGGCUGGGGGGCGGGGGCUGCGGGGCGGGGCAGGGGCUCCUCCUCCGGGUUACUUCUUCUUUUUCUUGGCCACCUUGAGCCUCCCCUCGAUCAGCCGCCGGGCCUGCCUCUUGAUCUCGGCCCGCGAGGGGACGUAGCUGUGGUCCACGUCUGCGAACUGGAAGGUUUCUAGAAAGGAGGUCCAGGAGGAGGGCAGCUGCACUCUGCAGCCCCUCUGCUCCAGCGAACUCGCUUACAGGGCGGGCUUUGUUGGCCUGCAUCCAUCACCCGGCCAGCUAUUAGCAAUUUUUUCUUAUUUUCUAUCUUCCUGAUGCCCUGGCAUGUGGGGUCUCACAGACCCGGGGAGAGGCUGUCCCCUCGCAGGGCUAGCCAAUCCUUAGAGACAGCAGAAGCCUCGCCCGCUGGGAGCGUCUCUCCUGCAAACCGAGCGAUCCAGAGCCCACACGCCCCGGCCCCCUUUCUAUGUCACACUCUCACACCAGGUCAAUAAUCCCCCGCCUGAAUCAACCCAGGCCCAGGCACCAGACAACUGGGGACGGCCCCUACACGGCAAGCCCACUGGAAUUAUUCCAGAAGCCCACCCGAAGCUGUUUACCCUGCCCUCCCCUGCCUUUCCCACAGAAACCCCCAUAAAGGCUCUGGCCUCAGCCUUCCCCCUGCUCCUCUCCGCCGCCUCGCGGGCAGUGAUGCUCCCAUGUGUCAGGAAAGUUAGUAAAUUCUCCUUUUGACAGCAGCAGCCUCUCCAUGUCCUCACUAAGUCCCUUCCGUGAAUUAAAAUCCCAUGGGUACAAGAGACACACCUGUCCGUCCUCGUAGCCCCCCUGUGCCUCUAGGCUGUCCUGGCCAGAAAGAACCAUCUGCCACACGCCCCCUCCCCAAUGCCGGGCGGCCUGGCCCCCAGCCCCGAGCCUGUACCUAUCACAUCGUCCUCCAGGUCUUCAAAGCUGAUCCUCUGGUUCUGCUUCUCCUUCAGAGUCGAGGACUCCAGGGUAUCCCUCACCUUUGCGUUGACCUGCAGGGCACAGGGCACUGUCAGCUCCAAGGGUACAUGGGACGAAUAGGCACCCCCAGCCUCGGGCUACCUCUUCGGUCCUGGACAGCGCCUGCAGUCUGUCGGCCAGGUACAGGAGCUUUCCCUCACAGUAUGCCAGCUUGCUGGACACGUCGAGGGUGUUGGAGAGCACUUCUUUCUGUAGGCCCGGAGAAGGGUCUCAUCUCUACCCUGGCUUCUCCCAGGGACCCUCCGUGCAGACGGCUCCGCCCCACUGCGGCUGGUACCUGGGCUGUGGGCAGCGCAAUGCCGAUCAGCCGGGCGUAGAGGUUGUCAAUGCCCAUCUGGAUGGUCAGCAGCAGCUUCUGGCUCUUGGUCAUGUUGGAGUAGGCCAGCUGGAGCCUUUCUUCCUCCUCUCUCAGCAUGUCCUUCAUUUUCUUCUCGACAGACUUAAAGCUGUUGAGGACGGUGGGGAGCGAGGCGGCACAGAGUCGAGGGCAGGCGGCCACAGACCUGCGUCGGGUGUCGUGCUAAACUCGGGGGCUCGAGAGCUCAGCUGUGGGCACGUGGCACCGCCCGGCUGGGCCUUCGCGGCCCACCUGCCAGGCUACCCACGGGCCCGUUGGCAGCCGACACACUGGGCUCUGAGCCGGGCCCCGCCCACACGGGCCGUUCACGAGGGCCCCACUGGGUGGCCCCGGCGGAAGGCAGGGGCCUCCUGGGGUACCUGGCCGAGCUGGGCGUCUGGCGGAACUUGAGCGCGGUCUCCUCCGCUUCCAGCCUCUUCAUCAGGGCCUCCAGAUGCACCCGCCGCCGCUCGCAGCCCUCCACCUGCAGCCCGAGGUUCUCUUCCGCGGUCCUCUGAGCCAGGAAGCGGCCGGCGAUGUCCUGGCCGGGCCCGUGGGGAGAGAAGCGGGUGUGGGCCGGGCAGGCAUGGGCCCCCCCAGAACUGGUUUCUUCCGGGGUCCCCCCCAGCGGUCAGGAACGAUGCUGACCGCGGCCAGGCACUGGGUGCAGCGCUUUAUGUGAGGCCCCGCGUGUCGCUCACAGCACGAGCAGAGCGGGCAGACACCCCAAGGCAGAGGCAAGGAGAUCACCCCUGAGAGACUGCCGGGGGCUCUGAGCCACUCGUCCAAAGUCAGGGCCGUGGAUGGGAGCUAAGCUUACUAAUAAUAAAGCCAGAUCGGAUUAAACGGAAGGGCCAGGCAGUGUCAGCCUCUCAUUGUGGUCCUGGCAGUUUAGGAAGGGACAGGAUCGUAGCUGAAGGUCUCGGCAUUUGGGUCCUCCCUCCAGUCCCAGCGGGCCCUGUGUGGCCCUUGGAAUGUGGCUCGGAUGUGCCAACCCUGUCCCGGCGUGCUCUCUACUCUCAGCCGUGAAGCCGCGGCUCUGUGCCCACGUUCAUUCAAGAGGUACCCGCGGCAGGCUUUGGGCUGGGGCGGGGGCCCCCUGCCUUCCACCCACACCCCAGGAGUGCCAGGGGGCAGUACCCAGAGGUGGGAGCAUUGCACGGCCAUCUUCACUUUCUCCACCAAAGCAGUCACGUCUGUCCGGUAUUGGAUAUCAGCCUGGGAGGUCUCUCUUUUCCUCACUGGGCAGAGCAGAGGGGAAGGGUGGCCAGCAUGCAGGAGGGUCACGGGAGCUUUGCCCGAGGCCAUCAGACAUCUCCUUGCGUGCCCAGCUGAGCGGGUGGCUGUCGGAGUUCCCUGCAUUUUGCCCUGCUCCCCCCGCCCCCUCAGCUGGCCCUUCAGGGACGCCCCAGGGCAGCUCCAUCCGGCGGGUGCCUGGCACGGGUGCUUCCUGGCACUUCUCAGAGGCAGCACGGGGACCCGGGGGGCUUGACACAACCCUUCUGAGGAAUCACUGGGUGGUCGAGCCUUGGGGAGCCAGGGGACCGCACCGUUAAGUGCAUUUCACGGCUGAGAAAACUGGGGGCUCGAGCACACUCAGCAGCAAGCCCAAGGUUGGGAGCAGUGCCUUGCAGAGUGGGCUGUGGCUGCUGGCACUCAGCCUCUGCAGGUUAGUGGGGACAGGCAGAGGCCCGUCUGUCUCCCUCGCCCCGGCAGCCCUCGCAGAGACCUGAGUCCCUGCCGGCCUUUUGGGACCCGGGCUGGGGGCGGGCAGAGAGCUGAGCGGUUACCUUUCAGGUUACCUUUCACGGUUUCUGCACCCAUGAGACUGGAGGGGAAGUCCAAGUCCCGCCGGCCCUGGGAGGAGGGGGAGGAGGGGAUGAGCGACGUCUUCUGCGGGGGCGGGGCCUCCCGCCGCCGUGCGGUCCCAGGGUCCUGCAGGGACUCACCCUGCGGAACUUCUCGGUGGUCUCCUUCGUGUGGAUCUUGUCGAUCAGCUUCUUCUGCUGGUUGAGCCGGUUCUCCCGUGCCCUGCGUUCCUCGAUGAAAGUCGCCUCUGCUUGCCUCAUGUUCAUCUGGGGACGCGGGUGGUGGGGCGGGGGUACGUCUCACCACGGCUUCUGUGGUGCUAAGUCCGGCCGGCCGGCGGUUUCAGUCCCGAUCUAGGUUUGGGACUAGUGUUGGAAGCUCUCGGCUGUCCCCUUCGUUCUAACGUGCCCAGGCCUGCGGCUUUCGUAGUCCUUCCGGCCCUCCGUUCUCCUCUCUGGACGCCUCUCCCACCUGGCCCCUGGGGGUGCUGCCUUCUGCAACUGCAGCCUCGGCUCAGGGACCCCGUUUCUCUCUGUAGCCUGGGCCCCCCGCUGCCUCAGCCGGCUCCACUGACAACUCACUGGAGUGAUGCCCCAGUCUAAAAAGGAAGUCAGCAUCUUCCCCCAGGCCCCGUCUCUUCCCGAGUGUCCUGCUUUGGUGGCUAAAUCUAUCAUCCCUCCACACCUGCCCUUGCGUCCUGCACGCUGCCCUCCCCACCCCCGUCCACAUCUGACUUGGCCCCACACGUCAUCGGGUGACCUUUAGAGGCUUUGGGGCCCCGGUGAUGACCAGGCACCCAGCUCUACCGCUGGUCUGUCCCAUGCAACCAGGAUCUGGACUCUGCUCACCCUUAGCCUCGGCAGCCAGAGCAUGGCCGUUUUUGAAACGCAAAUUUCUCCUCCCAGAGCUCCAGGUUGGGUGGGGGGCCAGCACCUAACCCCCCACCCCCACCCCACUGCCUCCACUGGUUCAAAGGCUCCCUUCCUCUGCACCUGCUCUGUUCCAGCCAGCCGUGCCUCCUUUGGCCCCGUUAUGCCCCAGGACCUUGGUUGUCCUUCGUCCUCUAGGGUUGGGACCGCUCGGUUAAAUGCAGAGCCCUACUUGAGCCCUGCCUCCCUUAGCGGCUAAGGGCCCCACAGUGGCCCCACAUCACGCACUCGUCUCUGCAGCACGGCCCAGUGGUUGUGUGACAUUUCUUCAUGGACCACUGGAUGGUUCCUUACACUGCCCCCAUCAGGAGGAGGAUGCACGCCUGACUUACAAGGGCUUCGAGGAGGCCUUGCUGCAGACCUGGUGAAUGGAUGGCCUCUGCCUGCACCGGGCUAACUCUCUCCCUCCUGUGUCUACCUCUUGGCUUCCAUGCCCAGGGGCGACUCUUUCUGUCCAGGGGCCUAGUGUGUGAGCAGAGCAGGCCAGUGAGGUGGCUGCUGGGUCCCUCCAGUGAUGGUGGGCAGGGCAGGCUGUGAGUGUCCCUGCAGACCCUGGGCCAGACGGGUCAGAGACAGGGACCUGCGGGAUCCCCAGGCCUGGGACUUGAGCUCACCUUGACCUCAUCUGUAAUCAUCAUGGCGUCCUGGGACAUGACGGUCAUGUCUGACAGUUCUGAGCAGUAGUCACCCACGAGAUUCUGCAGCUCGUCCAGCCCUGUGGGGUAGCUGGCCAGCUCCUGCAUCGAAAGGGGCGGGAGCAGGUGGGCACAGAAACCGAUGGCCCCGGGGCUCCAGGCCAAGCAGAUGCUGCCCCUCACUCCUUACCCCAGACAGUGUGGGCCCUGAGGACACUGGAGGGUCCGGCCUGGGGCCCCAGCCCCCACCAGGCACAGAGCAGGGAAAGCACCGUUUCAGGAGGGCAGACGGCAUUUCCCUGGUGGGCCUUCCCACUGCCCAGGACACUCAGACACACUUCCAAGGAGGCUGUGAUGGGGGUGUGGCACUGGGUGAGCGGUGACUGUGCCCCACCCCGGGGGAGCCUGCGACUGGGGAGUGGCUGCUGUCUGAAGCAUAGCAGAGGGGCUCGAACGCGGACGAAACGCGGACGUGGGGUCAGAGACUAGGGCUCAAGGCCAAGGCUGCCCUGACCAGCGGGCUAGGGGGACUUGGGAAAGCCACUUCACUUCUGAGUGUGCCCACCUAUUGAUAAUUGGUUCUUUCACAAGGCUGCUGUCAGAAUCUAUAUGUAAUGAAGUAUUAAGCUCAGAGCCAGGCUCAUAUAUAUCUAAUAUAUCUUAAAAAAUUUUUUUUUAAUGUUUAUUUUUGAUGGAGACAGAGACAGAAUGUGAGUGGGUUGGGGCAGAGAGAGAGGAAGGCACAGAAUCUGAAGCAGGCUCCAGGCUCCAGGCUCCGAGCUGUCAGCACAGAGCCUGACGCGGGGCUCAAACUCAUGAGCUGUGAGAUCAUGACCUGAGCUAAAGUCGGACGCUCAACCGACUGAGCCACCCAGGUGCCCCAAUAUCUAAUAUAUCUUGACCCUUAGUCGUUUGUUGUUAAUAACUACAUAAUGUAGAAUUUCCCUAGUUUUUUAAAAAAAUACAGAUGACCCCAGGAGUUAUUUUUAAAAACUGCGUAUGUUCUGAAAAGAACAUGCCCCCCGGGGGACAUAAUUGGCCACAUGAAGGAGGUCUGGACCCCAGGUAACAGCCGGAGUGGGGUGGUGGGCCCAGGAAGGCGAGGUGUGCAGGGCCUCGGCUGAGUCUAGGAACAGGGGGCUGAGGCAAGAGGGACAGGCAGGAGGACCGUGACACCUGCCUGUGCAGCUUGGGCAGAGCCCGGGGGGCUGCGACCCCAGCCAGGAAGAGUGCCGGUGUCUGCCCAUCCCACCGCAUCUCUCUACCUGUCACCUGGCUCGCUGCGCUGCCCUCCAGGACUCCCCCUGCCCCAGCCUUGGGGUGAGGGAGUGUGGACAACUUCCUCAUUCUCCCUGUGCCCCUCCUCCUCUCGGCACCAGGGCCCCCACCGUCCAGCCCUCCCAUCUUCUGGUCCUCUUCCUCCCCAUGAAGAGGCCUUCCCUCCCGGUGGGACUUGUGGCCCCUGGGGGCCUCCUCCAGGCCUCCUCUGCUGGGGGCAGGGCGGCUCGCUUAAAAGAGCUGGGCAGCAAGCUCCAGGUUACUGGCCUGCCGUCUAUGAAGUCCCUCUGGGAUGAGGGACCUUCUGAAGGCUCAAGGCCCAUCUUUUGCCCUCGGAGGCCAGGCAACGAUAAAGGAUGGGGCAAUAUAGAAACCGAACCAUCAAGUACGUGCAAGAAAACCCAAACAAUUCUGAUGUGUCCCAUAGUAUGCCUUUUUGAAACAGCAAAUUACACGUUCUUGAUGGAAUGUUUUCCACCUACAGGUGCAGGGUGUCCCUGCUCAGCUGGGGCCUCAAGCAGGGCUCUGUCCCAGAGGCAAACCGGCCUGGAGGAGAGUUGCAGCCCCCUCCCCACGGGAGGGGGUGGUGGUGGCAGGGGUGGCCCUGCCCCGGAGGCUGAGGUCCCCACUGAGAUCCUAGCCCUGCGUGCAGGCUGGGGCCUGACACUCCCGCCCUCCGGGCCAGAUGACCUCCCUGGGCUGAGGUGUGGGGCGAGGGGGCUCACUUUCUUCAGAUAAUCCAGCAGGUCCACGUACAGCAGGUAGAUGUUCUGGCUUGCGGUGAUCUUGAUCACGGUCUUUUCAAUGUUGUUCUCCAGCUGGCGGAUGACCUGGGGGUCGCCCGAGGGCACACGGUGCUUUGGGACAGGCCGCGUGGAUGCCCACCUGGAGGCCGACCGGGGAGGCUGCGCUUUCUUCCAGGGAGGGUUUGCCCGCCUGGCUUUCUCCCAGCCCCGCCGCCCAACGGAGUCCCAUCCCUCUCUCCCGGGGCCCCGCCUCCCGGAGGAGCUUCGCCCCUCCCACCGGAGGCCCCGCCCCGCCCGCCACCUGCCGCAGGCGCUGCCCCUCCUUGGUGUCGUCGGGCUGCCUCCGCAAACUAGCCAGCUCCAGCUUCAUGCUCUCCAGCUUCUGCUCCCGCCGUCGCACCAGGUGGAUCAGUACGUUGUGCACGUUCACGCGGUCGAAGACGUACUUUCGCAGCUUCUCCCGCGCCACCUGGGUCGGGGAGGGCACGGCCCGCGCGUGGGUGCGCAAGGGGCCGCGGGGACCGCGCACAGCGGGGCUGGCGGGGCGGGACCCCUGGGAUUGGGAACUCGCUCUGCCCGCCACCGGCUCCGCAACGUGGUUUAGUGGUGGUGGUCGGGUGGGGGGGGGGGCGGUGCGCUGGCCGGGCGAGGCCGAGGGAUCCCUCCUGCCACCUUACCUCCAUGGAGCAGCGGCAGUGUGCCAACCUCAUGGGCACGUCCUUCCCGCAGGCCUUGGAGAUGGUCUGCUGGUCAUACUGCAGAGCGGUGGUGGCUGAGCUGGGACCCCGGUCUCCCUGUGUACCCCCAGCCACCAGUCCCUCCCUCCAGGCAUUCUCCCCGGGCCUCUCUAGCCUGUGCUAGCCCAGCAGCGAGGGCCCAUCCAGGCUAUCCCAGCUCAGAAGUGACGGGAGUCAGGAGAAGAGGACCCAGGUCUCCCCUACAUGGCCAGAGAGCGAGAGGGGCCCCUGCUGUAGGGGGAGCCCAGGAAAAGCUCCCCAUCAGGCCCACCCUGCCAUCCGGGGUGGGCGGUGGGGAACCUGCCCAUCGGGCUUGCUGGAGUGACAGGUCCUGGGGAGCCCCUCCCCAAGAUGCCCCCUGGCUCCUGAGAGGUAAGAGCGGGAAAAGGGGGAGGUCCUUGUUGUCCCCUUGUGUGUGGGCCUGUUUCAGCAUGUGCCCGUGGUCAGCAGGGAGGGGGAGCGGGGCUGCUCACCUUCUUGGCCAAAGCCCAGUCCUGGGCCCCACGGCGGAUGGUGCUGUGCAGGAGAGCCAGCGUGGCUCUGUUCUUGACCGUCUUCUCCUUUACGGCCUGGAUCUGCAGUGCCCGGCAUUGCUCUGGUGGGGGGAGGGGCGGGGCACGGAGAUGCUCCUUCCUGCCCCCACUCGAGGGCCACAGGCUUCACUGCCCAGCAGUGCUUAUCUGGAUGGCUCUUAGUGAUGACUGUGCUGCGCAGUGGGGGACGUGAGGUGGCAGCCAGAGGUGGGCGCGUCCUGUGAUCCCUUCCAGACCCAAUGGCCAGAGAACGUCCCCUCUGGCUUUGGGGCUCACUGUGCUCACAAAUCUCCGUGAAGCCCCCUGCAUGGCAGACCCUUUUGAUCCCUCCUCUCAGGUCUGUUGGGGGGGGGAGGGUGGCCGCUAGCCCUUGUUUGCCCUGGACCGGCCCUGUGUUAGAUCUGAAAGCCCCUGGGCCCCGCAUGGGGCCAGGCAGGCUGGUCCAGUGGGGGGCGGGGGGGGGGGGGGGGGGGGGGGCGUGGAGGGCUCACCCUGGAGCCGAGUGAUUGUCUUCAGCUCCUGGAUCUGCCCCUCCACAUCCGCCUCGCUGCAUGCCUUCAUGGUGGCCGUCAGGGUCCUCCAGGCCCCCGUGCAGCUCCCGCCCUCCCUGUCCUGGGCCUGUUCAACAGAGCCGCAAGCAGUUCACGUCCCCGGAAUCUCAGCCCAUUGUGAUGGGGGCCGAGAUUCUCAACCACGGGGCCCUGGAGAUCCCGGCCCUCCCUGCCCCCUUUCUGUGCCCCCCGCCAGCCUUGGGGUUGCCCCCUGCGUGCUCGGGUCAGCUGCUGUCUGCUCAGGAGCACUGCUGGGGUCAAGGCACUUUCCACAGGGAAGUGAUUUGUGGUGAUUUGGCACGGCACCCCGCGCCAGCCCCCUGUACCCUCCCCAUCCCCUCCAUACCCCAAGGCUGUCCUCCGCUGAGCCUCCUAAAACCUCUAAUCUCUGCCUUAUGGGAUCUCCAUUGCUUCACCGCACCCCAAGCUCACAUUCCACACCCGGGGCGACCUGGCUCACGAGACCUCAGCUGUCAGCCCCGACGACCUCACCCCGCCCUGACCUCCACCUCCACGUUCCUGGGGCAAUUCCCGGGUCUAGUUCCGAUGCCGCUUACUUCAGGCGGGGUCGUGUGCAGCCCAAGCUUCCCGUGGGGUUAAGCGCUCCGAACACCUGCCAGCCUGGGACCCUGAGGGAGGCACACCGGAUGGGUUGCUUUUUCCAGCGGCGCCGCAUGGAUUUGCAGGGGCCGCCACAGCCAAGUGGCAGGUGGCCGAAACAAUGGCAGUUGCUCGUCUCACAUCCUGGAGGCCAGGUGUUAGCAGAGCUGGCUCCUCCUCAGCUUGUCGGUGGUCAUCUUCUCGCUGUGUCCCCACAUGGCCGUCCCUCCGUGCGUGUCUGUGACCUCCCCUCCUAACAGGGACACAGGCCGGAGUGGAUCAGGGCCCACUUCGUUUCAACACAACCAUUUCUUUAAAGGCCUGAUCUCCCAGUGCAGUCAUGUUCUGAGGUCCUGGGGGUUAGGGGUCCAACAUGUAAAUCUGGGGACCCCACUCAUGACCAUGGCCUUCACUCAGAUAUUGUCACGUGCAGGUCCUCCACGACCUCACACAGACCUUUUCGGCUUUCUGGUCAUUGCCAGUUUUUUUUUUUUCUUUUUUUUUACACAUUUAUUUAUUUUUGAGAAACAGAGUGAGGCAGUGUGAGUGGGGGAGGGGCAGAGAGAGAAGGAGACACAGAAUCCGAAGAAGGCUCCAGGCUCUGAGCAAGCGGUCAGCACAGAGCCUGAUGUGGGGCUCAAACCCACGAACCGCGAGAUCAUGACCUGAGCCGAAGUCGGACGCUCAACCGACUGAGCCACCCAGGCGCCCCAAGUCAUUGCCAGUUUUUAAAAGGGGAGCGCAGACCCAUUUAAAACUCCAAGCUCAGCUUCUGCCCUCCCUCUGAGACCUCAGGGGGUUGGAAGGACCCGUCAAGGGCCUGGUCUGGUCCCUACACUGCCAAUUCUGCCCCCUGUUCUCCCAGGGCCUGAGGCCAGGCUGCUCACUGUCCCUCAAUAUUGCUUCUCCCUUCUUCCGCAGAUGUACACCCUCUGAAUUUUAGUGGGGCACGUGGUGGCCCAGAGCAAGGCUGUCCCCUAGGCGCCUUGGCACCAGGGAUAUCAUGGGACUCUGUUUUGGCCAAUGGAGUGUAAGCAUAAGUGGGAGGGAGCUGUCCUCCUCCCCAGGGACUGGAACUAGCACCGCUGUCACCGUCUCGGACCUCGAGGUGGGUCUGGAAUAGAGGCUGUCACAGCAGGGAGCGGGCCAAACGGAGCCCGGGCCCCUGACGGCCUGUGGGUCCCGGACCACCCACUUGGACACGAAAGAAAACUCAAACCCCGGCCUGCUCUCCCCGUGGUUAUCCCGGGCUUCCCAUCAUUGUGCCUUCCCGCUAACAGAUUCCCUGCUGCACAGUAGGUGCACAAUAUUCUUUCGAACGACUGGCUAGGCCGAGAGGUACGGGAGCUGAGCCGGGGCCGGGGCGGCGUGGCCCUGUGCCUGUGUGUCCUCAGCGUUACUGGGAAGGUGGACUUGCCCGGGUUUUAUGUGAUCUCUGCCUCUUCCUCUGCUGGGGGGUGGGGGUGGGAUGUGUCAUCUUACCCACUCCAGAACUUGCCUGCCGUGUGGGCGGGCGGAGCUUCUGCAAGCUAGCUCUGGCCUGCCCCCCCCCCCCCCCCACUUCCUCCUCCCCUGGAGAGAAGGACGGAAUCUGAUAGGUGGGUUUGGAAUGGCAGGCAGGCAGGCACAGCCGCUUCCUGCCCCUCGUCUCUUGGGAGUCAGGCGCUGAUUGGCCAAACACCUUCUGCUCUGCCCCUCCGGGACUGGUUGUGUGGAAGUGGGGCCCAUAGGACAAGGCCGUGGUGGUGGCCUUCCAGUGCCCGCAGGGCCUGAUUCUGGGGCUCAGUGUUAGGAACUGCCCUGGCAGGUCCUCCCGUGUAUGAUGCGAAGGUGACAUCUGUCUCUCAUCUUGCUGCUUUGACGUGCUUCCCGAUGGCUGCAGAACUCAGGCUGGAGAAGGGCAAGGCAUUUAUUUGUCCAGCGACCCCCAGCAGCAGCUGUCACCUCUGACUGUGGGGGACGCCGGGGCCAGACAGGGAGUGUCAGAGCACCAGAGCAUGCAGAUGGCCCUUCCGCCAAGUGCCCAGAGCCUCUCUGACCCUCUGCAGCUCUCGGUGGCCACCGUGUUUCUCACUGCCCUAUGGGAGCCAACCACCAUAGGGGACAGCCCCUCUGGUCUGACCUCCGGGGCCGGCGUGGAAGCAGUUUGCACAGGUUUGGCAGAUCUGGCCACGCCUGUGUGCAGGGGACACCCGCUGGGUCACCUUAGGGUGUGGGGAGGGUCUUUGUGGGGGGAGAGGGCCAGUUUGGGGUGCAGACGCCCCGAGGGCUGUGUUCCGGAAGUCUUUGGCCCAGGUCUUCUACGCCCCAGCUGGAGCUCUCCUAGCUGCGCCGAUCUGUAGGAGAUAAAGGGAGCCGGCUAGAACCGCACCCGAAGCUGCUGACCAGGCCUGAGAUCAGUCAGCUUGGUGUCUGGCCACUCUUCUCGGGGUGCCCACACUCCUCAUUCUGCACUCCCCCCACCUCAGGGCCCCCGACCCCUCCUGCACGAAGGGCUCAGGAAGGUCUGGCGUGCCUCCCACUCCCGCCCUUGCAGGAGGGACAGGCCAGCAGGGAGAGGCCCUGUCCAGCCGGCACGUUGGACCCUGGGCUUGCCUGCCUCAGCCCCUGGCACUGGGCCCUCAGGUUCUGCUUCCCACUGCCCCCAGCCUCUCCCUUGUGCCUGAGGUCUUUGGGGAGCCGCCCGUCUCUAGAAGCCUCUCACCUGUGCCCAGGUCUCUGGGGAGCCGCCCAUCUCUAGAAGCCUCUCACCUGUGCCCAGGUCUCUGGGGAGCCGCCCGUCUCUAGAAGCCUCUCACCUGUGCCCAGGUCUCUGGGGAGCCGCCCGUCUCUAGAAGCCUCUCACCUGUGCCCAGGUCUCUGGGGAGCCGCCCCGUCUCCAGGAAGAGCCAGAGGUUGCUGCACCUGUGCGACUCCACUCGGGUCACCCAAUAGCUGGCCACUGAGCCUGUGACUGGGGACAGGGGCAGGGGCCAGUGGGCUGUGGGCCUGGGUCUCUGCACUUCUCAGGGAAAGGGGACCUGGGCAGAUGGUGGUGGUGGACUCGGCGGACGCCCACUGAGAACUGGGACCCCAUCCCAGGAGGCAUGCCUCCCACCCCUGCGGAAGAGCCAGCAUCCCCUCUGGCAAUCAGGUGCAUUUCCAAGGCCAUAGGCACAGGCCCCGGAGUACCCACCUACGGCCACCAGCACCUUCCACUGGAAGGGGUACGGAAACUUCCUCUGAAGGAACAUCUGCAGGCCGAAGGUUGCACCGGUGCCUGCCAAGAGCCAAGGUCCCCGUCAGCCAGCCUGUCCACGAGGUGCUGAGCGCCCCCGGCACCUGUCAGGCUCCCAGCACCUGACGCCACCUGCCGGGGAGUCAGGGUGAGACAGGAGGGCGAGGUCUCUCCAUACCCCAGGACACGGGGACCCAGCCUACCUGUGACAAAGGUGAAAAUGCCCUUCACGAAGGCGCUCGACUGGCACGCGGCAUACUCCCGGAGUCCCUGGGAUGAGGGAGGGGGUUGAGGGCUCAGUUCCCCUCCCGCUUCUCUUACCGUCCCUCCCGUCCCUCCUUCGGGCCGUAAGGAAGGAGACCUCCUCGUGAGGCCCUGAGGGCUUGGACACAUCCCACCUGCCUGCAUGUCCACCCAGGAUGCCCCGGUCCCCACAGCAGGAGGCUCCCCCCCCCCCCCCCCCCCCCCCCCCCCCGGAUCCUCUACCCGCUCCGCUCAGGUCAGCUGCUGAGGUCGGGGGCCCGCGUUCCAGGCGGUCUUCUCACCGGGUGCUUGGCGGCCACGGCGUCGUCCACUCGGGACAGGCCCAGGUUCACCAUGUCUGGCGGGUCACCGGGAGCCAGCGGGCGAGCCUGCGCAGGACCCGGCGGAGAGGGCGGGGCCGAACAGAAGGGCGGGGCCUGCGCCGGACCCGGCGGAGGGGGCGGGGCCGAACAGAGGGGCGGGCCUGCGCAGGACCCGGCGGGGAGGGCGGGGCCUGCGCCGGACCCGGCGGAGGGGGCGGGGCCGAACAGAGGGGCAGGCCUGCGCAGGACACGCGGAGGGGGCGGGAGCGAGAGGAGGGGCGGAGCCUGUGUCGGAAGCGGGGGGGGGUGGCUAGGGUCCUGUGAGAAGGUGGGAAAGGGUGGGGGGUGAUGGUGGAUAGUCUGGGCGAUGGGACUCAGGUGGCCUUUGAAGUAGAAGGGGAGUGAGGCUGGGUCCUGGCCAGGUCUUCUGGGGGAGAUUGACCAUCAGUUUAGGUCGCUGGUCAGAACGUUGAAGUCCCAGCUGGCACAGGGACCUGGGAAUGGACAGAUUCCCUGGGCUAUUGGGUCCUGUGUGACAUGUGGGCAGGUCUAGCUUACCUGUAUGCCCCAGCCACGGUGGAGAAGCAAAGCUACCUCCUGGCCUGAGGAUGAGGCCAGGCCUGGGCUGUUUUCCUGACUCGGGGGCAGUGCCUGUCCAGUGGCCAAGGCUGGGCAUUCUGGGUGAGGCAAGACCCCUCCUUUGAGGCUCCGGCCCUUUACUAAAUGGUCAUGUUGACCUUAAGAAUGAAAGUUAUUUUACCAGCAGAUAUGGGUUGAUUGGGGAAUAGCACAGAAUUGCAAUUUGGGAUAUGCAAGCUAACGGCAAAACCACAGACAAGUCCAACAAAGGAGAGAAACAUUAUUUUAUGGAGAAGAAGGAAAUGGGAGGGGUCCUGAACCAAAGCCCACUGGAGAAAAGCAAGGGUUCAGGGUGAUGGAGACUUUUCACAGGCUGAGUUGCAGGGGCCUGGAUUUCCUGUAGGAGGGGUGGUGUGGGUCUUUGCCCAUGGGGCCUGUAACUCGUGGUUUCCCCCCGAUUGACACUGUAUUGCGUGGCUCCUCUGUGGGCCGGGAGAGGCAGGGCUGACUCGGAGGAUGGUAACCCUGUCCUCACCCCCAGACCCACUACCUUCGCUUGCGCACACAACAGGGGAGGGUGGGCUGCAGGCUGGUGUCCCCGCCCCCUCCCCGGCACCCCGAGGAGGCCAUCCUGUGCCGUCCACACUCCCUUUGCCAGGAUGGGCUUCUGCUCUUCCUACCCCCUGCCUCCCACAUGCCCACUCCUUAGAGUGUGUGCGUGUGCCUGUGCACGUGUGUGUGUGUGCUGACAUGUCUGCGCGAGCCCCUCUUACCUGGACAGGGGCCUCCCUCCUGGCCCGGGGCCCUGGAGGGGAAGAGACGGAGGAGAGACACAAGGGUCCAGAGAGCAGGCCACCCCGUUUCUCUGCACGUGCUGCUCCCUGGUUCCAGGUCGGGUACCCCACAGUGGCCUCUCACUAACGAGGUGGGGUCAGCGCCUCUCCUGCCUGGCUGUGCCCUCUUCUGGCCUGGAGGACACCAUCCCCUUCCUCCUCCCCUCUGCUUCCUCCCCUCCUCACAUCCCUCUCCUCCCCCCUCUCCCCUCGUCCUCUCCUUUUCCCCAUUUCUCUCCCCCUCCCCUCUUCCCUCCCCUCUCCUGCUCCCUCCUCCCCUCCCCUCCUCCUCCUCCCUUCUCCGCUGCCCCCUCCCCUCUUCCCUCCCUCUUUCCCUCCUCUUCCUCCUUCUCUUCUCAUUCCCAUACUUAGUGUGACUGCCCCAGCAAAACCGGAGGCCCGGCCCGUGGGAGGAUCUCCAGACCCCGGGUGGGCAGCUGCCAGUGGGCCAGAGUCUGGCUUGAGGCAACCUGGUGGUUGAGGUCGCCACCUGGCCCCACAGGCGCUCUCACGGGUGCGAGCUCCGGGGCCUGCCACCAGGUGCCUGACGCGUCACCAGGUUUGGCAAGAGGAGGAGGCACGGGGGCCUGGCUGCUGAACAGUGGGGGCUGGGACGACCCAGGCCCGCAGAGCCCACGUCCUGACCGCCCUGCACACUGAAGCUGGGGCAGGGUCACGGCGGCCUGCAGCCUGUGAUCGGGGUGCUGAAGGUACCUGAGGGACAGGACAUUGGAGGCAGCUGCCUGGUUUGGAUUCCAGGUGAGGGUGGGGGCAGGGGCCCCUCCUGAAGCCCCAGGCAGAGAUGCCCAGCCCCGACCCAUUUCCUGGAGGGACACAGAGGGCACCCACAGAUGAGGAGAAAGUGGGUCGUGUGUUUACACAGAAACUAUGCGCACGUGGGUGGGGUGCAGGGGACCCUGAGAGCCCGUGCAGGAACCUAGAGCUGGGAGCAGCAGAGCUGACCCACCCAGGUCAAAGGGUGGAGGGGAGGACCGGUUCUAGAAGGUCGAGGUGAACUGUGUAGGCGAGGCCCCCGGUGACCAUAGGGAGGAUCUGGCCUCCGCCCUCCCAGCUCCUGCAGGGGCUCCCUGGGGUGGAGGCUGACUAGGCAGGGGGCCAGGGGGCCCUUGACAUCGUCAGCACAGUUCGGGCUCCCUCUGUGGUCAGCAGGGUGGAGGCACGGAGACCCGGAGACUGCUUCUCCCCCGAGGGCAGAGGUCUGGGGGCAGAGAGCAGUGCCACGAACCUGACGGCUGGGCCUGGGGGAGACGGUCAGCGGCCCUGAGCCACCGAAACCAGUGAGAAGUGACUGGAAGGAUCCUGGGGCUCCUGGAUCGUCAGGAAGCUGGAGAACCGAGCCCGUGGGGUCUGGAACAGCUCUGGUGAGCGGAGAUGGACAGAACAAGAACCUCCAAGGGAAGUGUUGGGUCUGAGCCACGCUGGGGGUACCGGCUCCAACCAGCCCCUGAGUCCCAGGGCUCCUCCCCACAAGGCUCAGACCCCAGGGUGGGGGCAAAGGCGCUGCUGGGCGAGGUGGCAACCCCCACACCCGUCCCCUUGGCCUUCACAGCAUGACGCUGGGAGGGGCCGAGGCAGGGAAGCCAGACGGCCCCUCGCCCACCAAUUCUGUCCUCAGUGGCUGUUGGCUCGAGCUUGGCACAAGGGCAGGAGCAGGUGAAGGGUGCUCGGGGGAGCCCCGGUUCCUGCCUCCUGGGUGGUUGUGCUGCAGCUGGGCGUGGCCCAGGGCCCACCCCUCCACACAGCCUGCAGGGGAGGGGCUCCCCCGCCCUCACCCCUCCCUACCUCUCACCAGGAGCUGCUGGAAGUCCCUGCUUCCUUUUGAGAGGGGAGGAGGUGGCCUCUUCAUGGCCAGAGCCUUCCUUGACCCACAGUGGGGCCUCCUCCUCAGCCCGCAGGGCAUCUCUGUCUGACUUGGCCCCAGGAGGCACACGGAGGAAAGGCCAGGGUGUGGUCCGGGUUUCGGAGAGCUCGCCUUCCCUGCAUCUUUUCACAUCUGGAGCUGGACCAGCCCUGGCAGAGUGGGCAGGGCAUAGGGGCUCAGCUUGUCUGGGGCAGCCCUGGAGGGCAGACUGGCCCUUCCUGGAUGGCACCCACCCCCGCAACACUGGGGCUGGGGCCCCGCUCCUCUGUGCCCCUGGUCUCCCCCGGGGGGCUGAGAGGGCGAUGCCACCUGCUCAGUGCCCACCCAUCGUCAAGAAAGAGCCCCCCCCCCCCCCCCCGCCCCAGCCCUGGGGCCAGGGUGUCUCUGCAGGUGAGGGGAGAGGGGGCUGCAGAAGCCAUAGCCGGAUGCACCCCUGCCUCCAGGGAGGCCACCCUUCAGUGCCUUGGGCCUUGUCUGUGCAUGCCCCGCCUCCGGUGGGCUGUCUGUGCCCGGGCCCUCCUGACCCCGGCUGGAGUAGGGGUGGGGCAAGAGGCGGGCUUCACGUGUGCAUUUUCUUUUUCCCGGAAUUAAGUCUGUGGCUCUGUCUGUGUCAUAACCUGUGUCGUCCGUGAAGGCCAGGAUGGCCUCCGGCAGCAUGUGUCGCUUCUGACAGUGUGGGGUUUACUUCGCGACCCCACAGCUCAGCCAUAAGCGUGCGCGGGGGCCGGGCAGCCCCAGCUGGGGGAGACCCAGACCCGUUGACCAGUCACUCGGGACCCCCAGCCCCGGCAGCCACCGAUGGCCUUUCUGUGGGUCCGCAGAACGGGGUGGCUCGGGUCUCUGUGUCUCCGCACGACGCGCUCGAGGCUCAUCAGCGACGCGGCCGGUUGGUCCUCGGUCCUCCCUGUUCUGGGCACCAUCCCCCGCUCUGUGUUUGUCAUUCACUGCCGCCGAGCCCGCCUGCGGUUUGAAGCGGGUUUCCAGUCCCAGGACUACCACGCUCCCGGCGGGCAGGACGCCCCGCCCGAGCGCCCCCUCUCCUAACUGUGGGGCCAGCCGGCAGCAUGCCCCCCAUCUCCCCACGCACAGAGCCUGCUGUGUGUGGCUGUGGAGCACUGCCCUCCAGGGCGCUGGGCGGGCAGGACGGGGGAGGCCCGGCAGCUGCCCCCUGCGUGGACUCUGGGGGGCUUGGGGGACGAGGCUGCGGCCUCGAGGGCCUGCUGCGGCCACGGACAAGGCAGGCUGAGGCCACCCACACAGCCCGUGCCCCGGCCGCGAGUGCUGCGGUGUCUCCGGAGGCCACGGUGUAGCGCCCCCCGCUGGCCGACGUGACUUUCCUCCCUCGUUCAUCCGCAACUGUGAACAGAGAACCCCCUGUGGGGCCUCAGAAGCCAACGGGCCACCAAGAGCUCCCGCUGUCACCGAGUUUAUAGCAUGUGCAGCAGGAGGAGAGUAAAUAAACACGGAGGAAAAUGUUAAGCUCAAAGCCCGGAGGAAACAGACCAGGGGUGGGGUGCACGGUGGGGUGCGACGAGGGCUGCUUGGAGGAGGCAGAGGCCGGAAGCCGCCCCGGGAGCAGCAGGCUCCCCCGGGUGCCGGAAGGGCCGCAGGGCCAGGGGGCCGAUGCCGCCGGAGGCUGGGUUUCAUCCCAGGUGCCCCGGCGGACGACUCGGGGACGGACGACUCGGGAGGGUCGUAAGCAGGGAUGCGCCAGAUCUGUGCCCCUCAGGGUUCGCUCCGGCCACGGUGUGGAGAGCACGUCCCGGGGGGCGAGGAGCAGGGGGGCCAGCGGGUGGCCGAAUGGCACUCAAGACCCCGGUCAGGGGCACGCCGGUGGCAGGUGUGUCUUCUGUGGGUUGGGGCGCUGCCUCACACCGCCGAGGCUCCUCAGGGGGGUCUGUCCCUCGGUCCUCGCUGGCUGGAGGAAGGACUGACGCACCACCCUGGCAUAGCAGUCCUGUGGCUGGAGGUCACGUCUGUCCUGCCCCCACCCUUUCCUUGGAGCUCUGGACUUGGUGCCUGGGGACUUGGGGCCUGGGGACUUGGGGGCUUGGGGACUUGGGGCCUGGGGACUUGGGGUAUGGGGAUUUGGGGCCUGGGGACUUGGGGACUUGGGGCAUGGGGACUUGGGGUGUGGGGACUUGGGGGCCUGGGGACUUGGAGCUCUGGAGUUGGGGCCUGGGGACUUGGGGCCUGGGGACUUGGGGACGUGGGGACUUGGAGCUCUGGACUUGGGGCGUGGGGACUUGGGGACUUGGCACUCCUUUGGCCUUCCUGUCCCCCAACCCAAGGGGUGUGUUUUUGAGGAAGAUCUUGGAGCCUGUGCGUGUGUGUUUUAAACAAGGUAUGAUUUACGUACGGUAGGGCUCACUUUCUGGGGACAGAUCUGCGGGUUUUGACAGAUGCAGGCACAUGGCCACCAGGGUCCGGGCUCCAAAAGUGUCCGCGUGCCCCUCUGCCCUCCGCCGCCCCGCCACCCCUGUUCCUGCCACCAGAGCAGCUUCUGUCCCCGGGGACGUGCCUACUCUGUCAGGUCCGUGGCCUUCCGGAGAGGCUUCUCUCGCUCAGCCAACGCAUCUGGGAUUUGUCUAAGCUCUUUACCCGAGCGGAUGGUUUGGGCUUCUCAUUCGCUCCCGGCACGGAGGGACCCCACCCGUCCACUUACCCACUGAAGACAUUUGCUUGUCUCCGCUUUUUAGUUGUUGUGAAUAGAGCCCUCUGAACAUCCGCGUGCGGGUUCGCGGGUUCAUUUCUCUUGCGUCAGUGCCGAGGUGCGCGACUGCCUGGGACAGGACCGUCUCCCUUUGUGAGAACCUGCCACACCGUUUUCCAGGGUGGCGCCUGGCUUUUCCCGCCCAGCGGCCGCAGGAGGGUGUAUUUGCAGGCGGCCUGCCACCUGAGGGCCGCGCAGCGCGUCUCGCGUCUCGGAGCGGCUCCCCCUUCCUGUCCCCUGACUGAUGGGCGUGUUUUCACGUGCUUACUUUCCUCCUGAUGUUUUCUUUGGUGAAGUGGUUUUUGAAAUCUUUUGCCUGUUUUUUUUUUUCUAACUUGGAUUGUUUGUUUUUCUUAUCAUUGCGUCUGUCUCGAGAGUUCUUUAUACAUUCAGGAUUUAAGCCCUUUAUCAGAUGUGUGUUUUGAAAAUAUUUUCAUGGGAAGGCUUUUCCUGUGUUGUGCCCAGUGACUCUGGGGCCUGGCCGCACUCGGAAGCACCCUCCUCCCACCCUCCACCCACCCCAGCGGGGGGACCCUUCCACUCUGAAGCACUCAGUAGUGUCGGCCCUCCCUGGGACCCCUGCCCCCGAUCAGAGGUGUCGGGGCGCUGGGCCCCCGAGGACACAGGGUGAUCGCAAGUAGUGUCUCUGGGUGCUCUGCGUGUGUGCACACAAGGGGUCACUGGGGAGCCCCCACCAGCCCAUGGCGCCUCCUUGGCGAUGCUCACGCCUACAGGCUUAUGCAACCCUUGAUAAGGUGGUUGUGAUACCAUAAUCCACCCAGACUGGCGGCUCAGCUCCACCCUCCAGACGGGCUGCUGGAGGCCCAGUUGGUGGCUGGGUAGGGGGCGGUGGGGUCUAGAGUGAGGGGCACCCAGGCCUCCGACGUCCCCUCUGUCACAGCUGGCCCGGGCAGGCUCUGCUUCUAGGUGAGGCCCCGAGGCCUGGCCGAUGGCGACUCCGUUGCAGUGUGGGGAGGAGGGACUGAGGACUUUGGGGGCCCAGACCUUGAGUGGGACCCUCUGGCUGGAGCAUCCCCAAGGGGGUCCCGAGCCCCAGCCAGGCUGGAGGUGGAUGGAGGCCAGGCUGAUGUCUCUGCUUCGUCCUCGGCGACUGCCUGGCAGGCCUGGGGCACAGAUCGGGGUCAGAAGAGGGGAGAGCUCACCUCUCUGGGGCCCUCCAGGAAAUGACCCCUGGGGCGGGGGCGGGGGCGGGGGGGCGCUCUUGAGUGAUCGUGCCAGACAAUGGACAAAGGGGACUGGGGUUUCCAGAGCCAAGUGCCUGCUGAGCCCAGCUGGUGGGCCGGGCUAUAAAGCCUGGCCUCCUGGGGCUCCGACCGAGCCCGAGGGCAGACAUGGCGGCCAAGUGCGUCCUCCUGGGCCGCGUCCUGGUGCUGCUCUGGGUGUCUGUGGCUUGGGCCGAGGUCCUGGUGCAGCCCGAUUUUGAUGCCAAGAAGGUAACAGAGGCCGCUGCACUGUGCCACAGGUGGGGUGGGGGCUGAGCCCACGGCAACGCUCCACCACGGGGUGACGGCUGCCGCUGCUGGCCACGGGCGCCUGCUCUGUGCCUUGGGCCUGCAAACCUGGGGGUCGUCUCUCCCUUUCAUCCUGAAACGACCCCGUGGGGAUAAUUACUGAGCCAUUUCUCAGCCGGGGGAAGUGAGGCCACGCGACCCGCCCAGGUAGGUGGCAGAACAGGGGCUCGGACCAAGAGACAGGUGCUCAGAGACCCCCGGCCGCGUGGUUCCCGACAAGCCCGUGUGGCCACGUGGCUUUGGGGCCCUGGGGCCCAGGGCAAGGGGGUCCGGCCUGGCAGCCACCGAGCUUCCUUACAGUUCUCAGGCCGCUGGUACGUGGUGUCCAUGGUCUCCGACUGCAAGGUCUUCCUGGGCAAGAAGGGCCAUCUGCUGAUGUCCUCCAGGGUCGUCAAGGCCACGGCAGGCGGCAACCNGGGGUGGGGGGGGUGGGGGCGAGCCGGGCCGGCGGCCGGGAGUGAACACCGGGCCUGCACCCCCAGGGCUGACGGCUGCAACCAGGCGGACGCCGAGUACCUGAGGGUGGGCUCCCAGGGCCACUUCAGAGUCCCAGGUGGGUCCUGCCCCGCCCGCCUUCAGGGGCCCCUGACGCGGCUUCUCCGUGGGGUGACCCGGACCACCCCCCCGGGGCCAUCUCCUGACUGCGCCCUCGCCCUCCGCCCUCCGCCCCUCCCUGGGGCCCAGACGCGGAGGCCGAUGGGGGUGGGGGUCAGCGCCCGGGCCCCGAGCACUUGGCCACGGCUGGCCGGCUUACCUCCUCUGCAGCCCUGGGCUACCUGGAUGUGCGCGUCGUGGACACCGACUACAGCUCCUUCGCCGUGGUCUACAUCUACAAGGAGCUGGAGGGGGCGCUCAGCACCAUGGUGCAGCUGUACAGUGAGGCCCCCCCCCCCACCUCUCCUCCCCACCCAGGCCCCGCCUUCCCAUCCCCCCCCGGCCCUGCCCCUUCGGGACCGGCCUCCCCUCAGCCAUCUCCCCCAAGUCCAAGCCGAGGAGGACCGGGGGUGGGGUGGUGGGCCCCCACAGCUCUUCGGAUGGGUCGAGGUUGGCUCGAGGGGCCUCUGGGGCCCAGGCACCCGGGCGGAAGCUCGGGUACCUCUCUGGCCCCCUGUGGGUGGGGACCCCCCUCCCCCUCCCCCUCCCCUGCCCGGCCCCACUGCCUGAGAGCUAAGCGGGGGCUGAGAUCCUGUUUCGCUUUAAUUUCUGAGGGCCUUGGCAGAGCGGGCCAGGGGCUCCCCAAGGUGCAGAGGUUGGGGUGAGGGCCGGAGGCUGGUUUCGGGAGCCCGAGGGAUGUGGGGCCCAGGGGGAUGUGGCCCUGGGAAACAGCCAGGCCAUCCCAGUCUCCCAGACGCUCUUGUGCGAAUUAGGAAAGGACACCCCUCUGGGUGGCUUCCAGUCCCCACUGGGGUCUCAGCCAGGCAGGCACUUUUGUGCAGCGCACAACCUGCGCAAUCUUGGGUGGCGAACCUGCUCCCAACUCUCAAGGAAGGGACCUCUGUCUCCCCUGCCCCCCACCUCCGUGAGCCACAGAGCUCACAGCGGCCCUACUCUGCCCCAGGCCGGACCCAGGAAGCAAGUCCCCAAGCCGUGAAGGCCUUCCGGGACUUCUACCCCACGGUGGGGCUCCCCGAUGACAUGGUGGUCAUGCUGCCCAAGUCAGGUACACGGGCCAGGGUCUACGCAGUCCCCAGCCCCCAGCGCCCUUCCCCGCUAGGUUGGCAGGCCCUCGCCCUCCUGCCCGCAGCCCCUCCUUCCCCACAACACACACUGCAGAAGAGGUUUCAGGCAGCUGGGAAGGGAGAGUCUUUCAGAGGGUGGGGCUGUUUGGGGGCCCGGGGCCCCCAGGGGUUAGGGGCCGCAGGAGGCCGUGGGCAGUCCCGGCCGGCCCAGCCUCACCGCUGUCUUCCUUCCCAUAGACACAUGCUCCUCUGGGGACAAAGAGGCUCCCUGACUCCUCGGGAGACCCACCGUGGCCCUUCCCAGGUAGGAGGGAGAUGGGGUACGUCCUCUGUCCUGUUGUCCGGCACCUGUCCGGGCAGCUCCUGGCCACCCCUCUGUCUGCCUGUCACCCUGCCUCCUGCUCUGCACGUGCGGACCCCACCCCUCACUCCCCCCUGCCCCCUGUUCGGCCUGGCCGUCCACUCUUGUGAUUCAGGCCUCAGCUCACACGUUACCUCCUCCAGGAAGCUUCCUCUGCCUUCCUACGGCUGCCAUAACAAAUCACCACACACUGGUGGCCUCAAAGGACAGAAAUGUAUCCCCUCCGCCGUUCUGAGGCCACAGGUCCAAAGUCAAGGAGGCGGCAGGCCUGGCCCCUUCUGGAGGCUCCAGGGGAGAACCUGGCCUCUCCCGGCGUCUGGUGGUGCCGGAGGUCCUUGGCGUCCCUUGGCUUGUAGACCCGUCCCUGCCACCUCUGCCUCGGCUGUCACAUGGCCGCCCU